GGAGGAGUACCCAAGUGGCUUAAGGGGACGGUUUGCUAAACCGUUAGUGGUCGAAAGGCCAGCGAGAGUUCGAAUCUCUCCUCCUCCGCCA
rnacentral:tRNA from 1 species